rnacentral:lncRNA from 1 species
CAUUAAAUAUAAAUUAUAAUAAUUUGUCAAGAUAUCAAAACACAACUACCUAAUUAGUUAAAUUUGACCAUCACCUUUCAAUUAAUUGAUCACAAUUUCAUCCUCAAACCGUAAUAAAAGUAACAUUUAACCAUCAGUUUUACAAACAUCACACCCUAUGAUCUCACCUUAUCCCCCCCUUCACAUAUUUAUAUAUGAAAAUUAUCAAUCCCCCAUCUC